GCGCACCAGGCGAGAAACCUCCGCAAUACACGAAAGUGUGACGGGCCAUCCCGAGUGCCGUCCGCUGAGGACGGCUUUUCCCCAGUGUACACAGCUGGGGGAAUAAGGAGAGGGCAAGCCUGGUGUCAGCCGCCGCGGUAAUACCAGCUCUCCGAGUGGUGGGGACGCUUAUUGGGCCUAAAGCAUCCGUAGCCGGCUGGGCAAGUCCUCCGUUAAAUCCAACGAUUCAAUCGUUGGGCUGCGGGGGAUACUGUCCAGCUUGGGGGCGGGAGAGGCCGACGGUAUUCCCGGGGUAGGGUGAAAUCCUAUAAUCCCGGGAGGACCACCAGUGGCGAAGGCUGUCGGCUAGAACGCGCCCGACGGUGAGGGAUGAAAGCU
rnacentral:rRNA from 1 species